rnacentral:sRNA from 1 species
GCAUCUGCAAAUUCAGGUGCCGGGAUUAGCGUCCUGCCGUGAUUCACCGCGACUACAUGACACGCAUGACACGCCGCGAGCGUGUUUUUU